rnacentral:rRNA from 1 species
GACGAACGCUGGCGGCGUGCUUAACACAUGCAAGUCGAACGAUGAAGCUGGAGCUUGCUCCGGUGGAUUAGUGGCGAACGGGUGAGUAACACGUGAGCAAUCUGCCCUUGACUCUGGGAUAACUGCGGGAAACUGUAGCUAAUACCGGAUAUGAGGCUUGGAGGCAUCUCCAGGUCUGGAAAGAAUUUCGGUCAAGGAUGAGCUCGCGGCCUAUCAGCUAGUUGGUGAGGUAAUGGCUCACCAAGGCGACGACGGGUAGCCGGCCUGAGAGGGUGACCGGCCACACUGGGACUGAGACACGGCCCAGACUCCUACGGGAGGCAGCAGUGGGGAAUAUUGCACAAUGGGCGAAAGCCUGACGCAGCAGCGCCGCGUGAGGGAUGAAGGCCUUCGGGUUGUAAACCUCUUUUAGCAGGGAAGAAGCGAAAGUGACGGUACCCGCAGAAAAAGCACCGGCUAACUACGUGCCAGCCGCCGCCGUAA